UACGGAGGGUACAAGCGUUGUUCGGAAUUAUUGGGCGUAAAGAGCUCGUAGGCGGCUUGGCAAGUCGGGUGUGAAAACUUCAGGCUCAACCUGGAGCGGCCACCCGAUACUGCCAUGGCUUGAGUCCGGUAGGGGACCACGGAAUUCCUGGUGUAGCGGUGAAAUGCGUAGAUAUCGAGAGGAACACCUGCGGCGAAGGCGGGUUGCUGGGCCGACACUGACGCUGAGGCGCGAAAGCUAGGGGAGCGAACGGG
rnacentral:rRNA from 1 species